rnacentral:lncRNA from 1 species
AUAAAGAUACUCAAACUCAAACACAACUAAAAUUACUGAGCAUAAUCAUAAACCCUAAUCAACGACAUCAAGCCCUAGUUUCUCCAGCCUCCAUCACCACCGUCACCACCACGAGAGUAACCACGGUCACCACCACCACCAUAACCACGGUCUCUGCCACCGCCAUAGCCACCGCCACCGCCACCGCCAUAUCCACCGCCGCCGCCAUAGCCUCCACCGCCACCGCUACGGUUGUAUCCCCCUCCACCACCGCGACCACCACCACCAUAUCCACCACCGCGACCACCACCAUAUCCACCACCUCCACCGCCUCCGCCGCCACCGCCACCACGGGACUGAGCUUCGUUAACAGUGAUGUUACGGCCGUCAAGGUUUUGGCCGUUCAUCCCUUCGAUGGCGUCUUUCAUGGACUGCUCCGAGGCGAAGGUCACAAAUCCAAAACCCCUGGAUCUUCCAGUCUCACGAUCGUUGAUAAUCUGAACAUAAAACACGAAAAACCAUCAGAUCUGAAACAAAAACAGCACGAAAACAAAAAACCAGAACCGAAUAGUAACCGAUCGAUCUUCGCCUUUGGUGAAAGGAAGAAGAUGAACGUACCUAUUGGCGUGAGAGUAAUAAAAGAAUCAUAUAGUAACACAAGUAUCAUAAGAUCAAGUAACGCAAACAGAUCAGAGAUCACAGAUCAGAAAGGGAUCGAGAAAAUUCCGAAUCCGAAUCGUGUGAGAUCAGAUGUGAUGCCUGCAACAAACAGACCUUCGUUUCAACGAUUUCGCCGUACUGAGAGAAGGCUCUCUCGAGAGCUUGGUCGUCAGUGGCCCAAGCGAGCCCACCGACAAAGCAACGGUACUCAACAUCUGAAGAAGCCAUCGAAAAUUGUAUAAACCCUAGAAAAUUGGUAUUAAGAGGGGUAAGACUGGCACGAAGAAGACGGAAACCCCAAGCGAUUGUUUUAUAGCUGCUGAAAUUUUAACCAGGGUUACGGCGCGUGUGUUUGACCUAGACUAGGGUUACAGCUAAAUGAAUCAUGGUUCAAAAUUAGGUCAUUAUAAAUAUUGGGCUCAAACUUGGACCCAUGUGAAAUUUUUGUUUAGGCCCAAAUUGAUAGUUACUCAAUUUUCAACACAAAAAUUAUUUAUACUAUGAAUCACAUUGAGAACGUUGUAAGAAAAAAUAUCAUACUAUCUUUUAUAACUCUGUGAAUCACAUUGAAAAGUUUCAUUUAAAAUAAAUUUAUUGAUAACAAAAUUUUUUUUUUAAUAUUAUACAAACUCAAAAGACGAUAACGCGUGAAACAAUCCUCGGUCAAUCUUUUUUCACAAAGACGAUAAUAAUGGAAUCCAUGUGAUCAUUUACACCUGACAUGACAAGAGACAGUUGUCACCUUGCAUGACAAAGACAACAUUUGUCCAAUGACCAAGGUGAUGAGUCAUUUCUUUCUUUCUUUUUUCUUUAUCAAUUAUGACAUCAUUCAUGACCUCAUCAUCCAAUCUCAUAAGAGUAAUUUUAAUGAGAGUUUUUUUUUUGACAAAAACAAUGGUAGGAAUUUUGUAUGAUUUUUUUUUCCAUUGGAGAGCUAUAACUUGGUAGGCCCCAUUUCAAAGAGUUGUCAACUCACUUAUUGUAGAGUGGGUCCAUUUGCAUUAUAUUUAAUUAAAUUAGCAAUGUAUUUUUUUUUUACUCAACAUUAUGGAUCCAUUUGUGAAGCUCCCUAUAGCAAUGAAGGUCCAUCAAAUACCUUACACCACAAUUCAUCAUUAUCCAAAGAGUUGACUUUAGGUUUCUUUGGAGAUGUGAUAACAUAAGAUUCAACACUAAAAGAAGCUCAAUUUUUUUAUAAAAAAAUAAUUUAAUAAUUUUAUAUUAUUUUUGUAUAACUAAAUUAAUUUUUUAUAUCUUUGUUUGUUUAAAUUAAGAUGUGACAUGCGACUAAAAAGUAUUUAUGUUGAUUAUUAAUUUAUUUUUUUAUAUAUUACCUUCAUAAAUUCAUAUUGAAUUAAUUUUUAACUUAUUGUGAUACAUAAGUAUGUAAUUGAUUUAUGAUGACAUAUUUAUUUUUUUAAAACAAAAUAAGAAACACAGAUAAAAAUAAAAUUAUAAAUGAAUAAAACUAAAUGUUGGUAUAUUAAUAAAGAACAAAAAUAUAUAUUUUUAAUAUGAAAUUAUAUUUUAUCGAUGAUAAACAAUAAUGAUUAAACUAAAACAUUUUCUUCAAGAGAUAAAAUAUAUAAUUAAAUUAAAUUAUAUAUAUAAGAAAAUUAAAGUAUAAAAAAUGUGAUAAAUUCCUCAAGAUGAAGAUCAAAUUUAAAAAAUAUAAAUCCACCGUAGAUAAGAUAUAUCACCAACUCAUCUCAUUAUCAUAUUUAUCUUAUAAAUAAAUAUUAUGUAAUUUUUUAAAAAAACAAAUUAAAUAAUAAAUGAUAACAUAGAAAUAAAUUAAAUAAAAAAUGUGAUAUAUUAUUUUGAGGUUUAUUAAACCUAAUUAUUCGUUUAAUGAACAAAACAUAUUGUUUUUAAUAAACUUACAUUAUUAUUUUUUUAUAUAAAAGGGGCCAAAUCUCAAGAUCGACCUUGAUUAUCAAUUACUUCCAUCAAAGCCACCAGACCUGCACCAUCAAAGGAACCUGGAGACAAGCUUCUAUUCUUGUUUUCUUCAGAAAUUUCGUGGCUUUGAGGAAUGGGAGUGUGUGGAGAAAAUUUCUUUAACCUUGCGUAUAUGUUGAUUGAUUUCUUACCAAGAAAACUUAUUUUUUCUGGUUGAUGGCUGGAUGUAAUUAUUGUUACUGUUUGAUUAUUGUGUGGCUUUAUUAGAAAUGUUCAUUUAUGAAGGGAAAUUCUGCCAAAAAGAUUCUCUCCGCAAACAUUUAUUACAAGGGUACAAGAAGAUGUUGUCCUCCCCGCAAACAAGAAGAUAUUAUCACAUAAAUAAAUAUCAUGUCAGAAUCUAAUUUAUAUCUUUCUUGCCAAAAUAACUUUUUUUAAAGCUUUCCAAAUGAAAUUUGAGUUAAUUGUCAAAGAAGUGUAAAGUGUUUAACAACCUCCCGUCUACAAAACUAUUAACCAUGAUCAAAUUUAAAACAUAAAUUGUUGAAUUAAUAAUUAAAUUUAAUUAAUUAAAACGCUUACAAAAAAAUUACUUAAUUAAGCUGCAAAUAUAUAGCUUAUCAGAACCAAUAAGCAAACGGCAUUGGUGCAAUUAAAAUAUUUUCCAAAUAAAAAUCUGUUGAAAUGUGAUAGCACUAUAGUAGUACCCUAAUUUCUGGCAAUCUUUUCAUUUAUUCGAUUCUACACAACCAGAGAUAUAUAGGUAAAAAACCGUAUCCAGGAGCCCCAAACCAAGACAAAUUACCAAACCGUAACACCUAAAAUUACGGAACACAAACAUAGCAAUAAACACUAAUCUACAACAUUAAGCCCUAAUUUCUCCAGCUUCCAUCACCACCACCACGAGAGUAGCGUGAUCCACCGUCCCCGUAAGGUCCGUAACGAUGGUCUCUGUCACCGCCAUAACCACCACCGUUACGGUUAUAUGCACCUUCCCGACGGCCACCGUAUCCUCCAGCACCACCACUGCGGUUGUAUCCACCGCCACUUCCGUAACCGCCACCGCCUCCACCGCGGCUUCCGCGGGACUGAGCUUCGUUCACAGUGAUGUUGCGUCCAUCAAGGUUCUGACCGUUCAUCCCUUCGAUCGCAUCCCUCAUUGAAUCCUCGGAGGCGAAGGUAACAAAUCCAAAUCCCCUGGAUCUUCCAGUCUCACGAUCGUUGAUAAUCUACACAUAAAACCACAAACGGUUCAUCAAAUUGAAAUGAAAAGCAAAACAGCACGAAAACAAAAACCAGAACCGAAUAGAAACCGAUCGAUCUUCUUCUUUGGCAAAAAGAUGAAGAUGAACGUACCUAUUGGCGUGAGUAAUAAAAGAAUCAUAUAGUAACACAAGUAUCAUAUCAUAGAACAAGUAACGCAAAUAGAUCAGAGAUCACAGAUCAGAACGGGAUGGAGAAAUUCCGGAUCCGAAUUGUGUCAGAUCAUAUGCGAUGCGGACCUUC